CCUACGGGAGGCUGCAGUGGGGAAUAUUGCACAAUGGGGGAAACCCUGAUGCAUCGACGCCGCGUGAGUGAAGAAGUAUUUCGUUACGUAAAGCUCUAUCCGCAGGGACGAAAAUGACGGGACCUGACUAAGAAGCCACAGCUACCUACGUGACAGCAGCCGCUGUAAUACGUAGGGGGCACGCGUUAUUCAGAUUUACGGGGGGGAAAGGGAGCGUCGACGGCAGCGCAAGUAUGGAGUGAAAUCCCAGGGCGUAACCAUGGCACUGCGUUGGAAACUGUGCAGCGAGAGUGGAGGAGAGGGAAGCGGAAUUCCUAGUGUAGCGGUGAAAUGCGUAGAUAUUAGGAGGAACACCAGUGGCGAAGGCGGCUUACUGGACUGUAACUGACGUUGAGGCUCGAAAGCGUGGGGAGCAAACAGGAUUAGAUACCCCUGUAGUC
rnacentral:rRNA from 1 species